rnacentral:rRNA from 1 species
UGCAGAGGUCUCAAGCGUUGUUCGGAUUCAUUGGGCGUAAAGGGUGCGUAGGCGGCGCGGUAAGUCGGGGGUGAAAUCUCGGAGCUUAACUCCGAAACUGCAUUCGAUACUGCCGUGCUUGAGGACUGGAGAGGAGACUGGAAUUUACGGUGUAGCGGUGAAAUGCGUAGAUAUCGUAAGGAAGACCAGUGGCGAAGGCGGGUCUCUGGACAGUUCCUGACGCUGAGGCACGAAGGUCAGGGGAGCAAACGGG